rnacentral:rRNA from 1 species
GACAGAGGGUGCAAACGUUGUUCGGAAUUACUGGGCGUAAAGCGCGUGUAGGCUGCUCGGAAAGUCGGAUGUGAAAGCCCUGGGCUCAACCUAGGAAGUGCAUUCGAAACUUCCGAGCUCGAGUUUCGGAGAGGAAGGCGGAAUUCUCGGUGUAGAGGUGAAAUUCGUAGAUAUCAGGAAGAACACCCGUGGCGAAAGCGGCUCUCUGGAACGGUACUGACGCUGAGACGCGAAAGCGUGGGGAGCGAACAGG